rnacentral:rRNA from 1 species
GACGAACGCUGGCGGCGUGCUUGACACAUGCAAGUCGAACGGUAAGGCCCUUCGGGGUACACGAGUGGCGAACGGGUGAGUAACACGUGGGUGAUCUGCCCUGCACUUCGGGAUAAGCCUGGGAAACUGGGUCUAAUACCGGAUAGGACCCUGGGAUGCAUGUCCUGGGGUGGAAAGCUUUUGCGGUGUGGGAUGGGCCCGCGGCCUAUCAGCUUGUUGGUGGGGUGAUGGCCUACCAAGGCGACGACGGGUAGCCGGCCUGAGAGGGUGACCGGCCACACUGGGACUGAGAUACGGCCCAGACUCCUACGGGAGGCAGCAGUGGGGAAUAUUGCACAAUGGGCGCAAGCCUGAUGCAGCGACGCCGCGUGAGGGAUGACGGCCUUCGGGUUGUAAACCUCUUUCAGCACCGACGAAGCGCAAGUGACGGUAGGUGCAGAAGAGGGACCGGCCAACUACGUGCCAGCAGCCGCCGUAA